rnacentral:rRNA from 1 species
UACGGGAGGCAGCAGGGGGAAUAUUGCACAAUGGGCGCAAGCCUGAUGCAGCCAUGCCGCGUGUAUGAAGAAGGCCUUCGGGUUGUAAAGUACUUUCAGUCGUGAGGAAGGUGUUAAGGUUAAUAACCUUAGCAAUUGACGUUAGCGACAGAAGAAGCACCGGCUAACUCCGUGCCAGCAGCCGCGGUAAUACGGAGGGUGCGAGCGUUAAUCGGAAUUACUGGGCGUAAAGGGCACGCAGGCGGUUAAUUAAGUUGGAUGUGAAAUCCCCGGGCUUAACCUGGGAAUGGCAUUCAAGACUGGUUAGCUAGAGUCUUGUAGAGGGGGUAGAAUUCCGAUGUGUAGCGGUGAAAUGCGUAGAGAUGUGGAGGAAUACCGGUGGCGAAGGCGGCCCCUGGACAAAGACUGACGCUCAUGUGCGAAAGCGUGGGGAGCAAACAGGGAUUAGAUACC